CCUAUAUAUUGUAAUAUCGUUUCGUAUUAUUAUAAUAUAUAUGUAUAUAGCUGACGAUCAUCUCUGAUAAUAAUUAAAAUAUUACUAAAUCGUCACCGGUUAUAUAGUGAGUGUGUGUGUGUGUGUGUGUGUGUCUUAAUUUCCGGGGGCACUGACGGUAGUGAACGAAACUGUAGGU